rnacentral:tRNA from 1 species
AAGUUAUUAGUUUAAGAAAAACAUUUGAUUUCGACUCAAACAAUUAUGGUUAAAGCCCAUAAUUACUUU